GUAGGUGAACCUGCGGAGGGAUCAUUACUGAAUGGCUUUGGCCUUCAACCUUGCAAACCUGUGGAAGCAAGACGUGCUUCGGCGCCUGUUUGGCGCCGCUUUUAUGCUUUAAUCAGUCUUCGUGUCUGAAUCAAAUACAAGAAAUAAAACUUUCAACAAAGGAUCUCUUGGCUCUCGCAUCGAUGAAGAACGCAGCAUCUGACUGACUAAGAUUCG
rnacentral:misc_RNA from 1 species